GUUAGAAUCGUCAGGUGAUCAUGUGCUGUCCGCACCAAGGCCAGCAACAAGGAGCACAUAUCGAGGCUCUCCGCAGAGCCAAGUUCAAGUUCCCCGGGCGCCCAGAAGAUCCACAUGUCUAAGAAGUAUGGCUUCACUAAGUUCAACGCCGUGGACUUUGAUCAAAUGAUGGCUGAAAAGCGUGUGAUUCCUGAUGGCUGUGGGGUGAAAUACAUCCCCUCGACGGGCCCUCUGGCUCGCUGGAAGAAGAUUCACGCCAUCUAGACACCCGACUACAGACUGUCUGGAAAGGCACAGAAGCAUCCGAGAGAACAGAGACAUGGUGGAAGAACAACUAGCCAAUAAAAGUGUAUUGUUGAAUAUAAACCUGA